rnacentral:rRNA from 1 species
UACGUAGGGUGCAAGCGUUGUCCGGAAUUAUUGGGCGUAAAGAGCUCGUAGGCGGUUUGUCGCGUCUGCUGUGAAAACUCGGGGCUUAACCCCGGGCCUGCAGUGGGUACGGGCAGACUAGAGUGCGGUAGGGGAGACUGGAAUUCCUGGUGUAGCGGUGAGAUGCGCAGAUAUCAGGAGGAACACCGGUGGCGAAGGCGGGUCUCUGGGCCGUAACUGACGCUGAGGAGCGAAAGCGUGGGGAGCGAACAGG